AGUGAACGCUGGCGGUAGGCCUAACACAUGCAAGUCGAACGGCAGCACAGUAAGAGCUUGCUCUUACGGGUGGCGAGUGGCGGACGGGUGAGGAAUACAUCGGAAUCUACUUUUUCGUGGGGGAUAACGUAGGGACACUUACGCUAAUACCGCAUACGAUCUACGGGUGAAAGCAGGGGAUCUUCGGACCUUGCGCGAUUGAAUGAGCCGAUGUCGGAUUAGCUAGUUGGCGGGGUAAAGGCCCACCAAGGCGACGAUCCGUAGCUGGUCUGAGAGGAUGAUCAGCCACACUGGAACUGAGACACGGUCCAGACUCCUACGGGAGGCAGCAGUGGGGAAUAUUGGACAAUGGGCGCAAGCCUGAUCCAGCCAUACCGCGUGGGUGAAGAAGGCCUUCGGGUUGUAAAGCCCUUUUGUUGGGAAAGAAAAGCAGCAGGUUAAUACCCCGCUGUUCUGACGGUACCCAAAGAAUAAGCACCGGCUAACUUCGUG
rnacentral:rRNA from 1 species